CUUUAAGAAAGCGAACUGUUCCUUAUGCAUAUUUGAAGGCUGUUUGUCUUGCAGUGCCCAGCUGACGCGGGGCCGGAGGCUCAACACGCGGGACCCGAAUUGUCGGGGAGUAAAUCAGCCACACGUUAAAGGCACCCUCUGCCAGGGCUCCGGGUGGGAGCCCCUUCCCAUUGCUCUAAACACAUCCCAGUACCGUCUGGCAACGUUUGAGGAGGGAGCCCUUAACCUGCGAAGCAAGGGCUUGAGGUCCAAAACACCUCUUUCCCUACCCCUUAUAUCCCCCCCCAUCCACAUCCACGUCGCGAGGAUGAAUUUGGCUGCAUCUGGGGUGGAUGGAUGCAUCUGUCUCCUGAGGCCUCCAUCUACUUGGGGCUAUGCCACCAGGUCUACUCCAUCUUCUCCCGGAGAGCCAGGCGAAGGCACAGGGGCUCCCGGGUGUUGAACUUGCUCCCCCCGAGCGCACCGGGAACAAAAGCGGCCCCCGAAGCGGUGGCAAACCCGACGGCAGCGCUCCUAUGGCCUGGGCCGGCUCCCCCCACCCUGUGCGGAGCAGGACGAGGUCACAGAAGCCCCCCGCAAACUUUGGGGACGGGCAUCCUCUCCGUCCCUCCGCCCCGACGGCCCGCACGGGGCUGUAGGAGCGGGGGGAGGCAGAACAGGGUGCGGGGAGCUUCAUUUAUUUUGGCAGAGGAAAGAGACGUUUCCACUCCACGCAGGCUCCACCGGCUGGGUGGGAUUUGGGACAAUAGGCGGAGUGGAUUAUUCGUUCCCGUAGGCAAUACUUCCCUGGAUGGGCUUCGGGAUGCAGUUGGAGGCUCGGGAACAAAGCGGGCAUCUCAUGUCAAGGCUCCUUCCAAGGAAGAAAUAAUUCUGCUGGGACCCUGUGCCUGGACUUUGGAAGACAUGAUGCAGUGGUUUCAUCUGAAAGCACCAUCCCUGUGGGUCGAAACUCUCCUCUGUACCGUGUGCUUGGCAAGAAGGGCAACGAGGGGACACUUGGAGUGACCAGGAGUUUGGCAUCAAGGAGCAGCAAGCCAGAGGGAAGUUUGGUGUCAAACCAGACACUUUGUGGCACUCCGUACUGGUGUCCAAUAGGUUCUGAACCACCCCCACGCUAAAAUAAAGAUCACCAUUCUGCUAUGCCAGUGAGCUUGUCUUGCUAAACCUCCCCUGUUUGCGUUGAAGCUUUUUUUUUUUUUUUUCCCCUUUGUAGAUGAAGAAACGCAAGCUAUCAGAAACAAGCCUAUGUUUGAAGGUACAGUUUUCAACAUGUGAGUGGGAAACAUAUGUACUGGCACAAUGCAACCGCUCUGUAAGGGCUGUGCUCGGAUUUUGGCUUUUAAUCUCAACUCUGUUAGAGAGAGAGAGAGAGAGAUGCAAAAUGGAAGGGAAUGUGAUUAUUUAUGCUGUAGCCUUGUGAUACUCAUCCUAUAACCGUUGAGGAGAGAAGCAAAACACUCUGCUAAAGCUUUGGGUGAGCCUGAGUUUCAGGGGGACUCUAGUCUUCACAGGUUCUCACUUCACUGCCUUUCUUCCCUUGGUAUAUGUUAUAUGGGAAAUGUUUUAAUUUUUUGUUUGUUUGUUUGUUUGGUCUGCUGUUCUAUGUUAUAAAGUGAGUAGAGACCAAAUCCUGCUGAGAAAACGAGCUCCCUCCACCACAAACUCACGUCUGGAAAAUACCUACCCCCUUUGCCCCCUGUCACCCCCCCCUUCAAACCAUCCUCCCCCUUUCAGGGGAGAAAAGAAAACCUUAGAAGAGAAAGAGAGAAGCGGGGAGGGAGUAAGAGGGGGAACCCCUGAUUCCUCAGUGACCUGCACAGCUCGGCCAGACCUCCGAGUUCCC